rnacentral:rRNA from 1 species
AUACGGAGGAUCCGAGCGUUAUCCGGAUUUAUUGGGUUUAAAGGGUGCGCAGGCGGGAGAUUAAGUCGGCGGUGAAAUUUUGCAGCUCAACUGUAAAAGUACCUUCGAAACUGGUUUCCUUGAGUGGAGAUGAAGUAGGCGGAAUUUGUGGUGUAGCGGUGAAAUGCAUAGAUAUCACGAGGAACUCCGAUUGCGCAGGCAGCUUACUAAACUACUACUGACGCUCAGGCACGAAGGCGUGGGGAUCAAACAGGAUUAGAUACCCUGGUAGUCCACGCAGUAAACGAUGAUUACUAGCUGUUUGCGAUACAAUGUAAGCGGCUGAGCGAAAGCGUUAAGUAAUCCACCUGGGGAGUACGUUCGCAAGAAUGAAACUCAAAGGAAUUGACGGGG